rnacentral:rRNA from 1 species
CAUGGUUUAGCUAGUCUAAUUCAAGCAAAAAGAAAUUUAGUUUGACUUCCCGAAACCAAGUGAGCUACUUUAGGACAGCUUAAUGGGCGAACCCGUCUCUGUUGCAAAAGAGUGGGAAGAUCUUAAAGUAGAGAUGACAUAUCUAACGAACUUGGCGAUAGCUGGUUAUUUAGGAACGGAAUCUUAGUUCAGCCUAAAGCUCCCUUAAUAACUUAAAAUAAAAGACUAACUUUAGAGUUAUUCAAAUAAGUCACAGCUUAUUUGAAACAGGAUACAACCUCAACCCGUGGGUAAUAGCACCAAACCCCAAUUAAGUGGGCCUAAAAGCAGCCAUCUUUAAAAUAGCGUUAUAGCUUAAUUUAACUUAUUUUACAAUUCCCCAAGCCCUUCAGAACCCCUCAAUAGUACUAAAUAAUCCUAUACUUCUAUAGGACUCUUUAUGCUAAAACUAGUAACAAGAAGAACCUUCUCCUAUAUGCAAAUCUAAAUCAGACCAGAAGAUCUACUGAUCAUUAACAACUUUAAACCCCAGUACUAAAUUGAUUAAAAAAAUUUACUAUUUUAGCUGUUAACCUUACACAAGAGCAUAAAAAGAAAGAUUAUAAGAAAAAGAAGGAACUCGGCAAAAUAUGAUUCCGCCUGUUU